GAUAAAUUGAAGAAUGGUGGGGUAGAGUGCAAGGUUGGUCUUUGAUGUCGAUUUCGAAAGUUGAAGAGCUUUUCUAGACAAGCUAAGCAUUUUCAUUUCCCAUUAAAUCAAACUAAUAAUAUUAAUUAUUAAAAAAAAUACAACCCAAGUGAAGAAGAAUCACUCCUUCCCAUACCAUCUUUAUAUACUCUCACUCCAUUCUCUCAUCUCUUCAUCUCUCUCUCUGAAUUCCUCGUGUUCAGGUCUGUGUUCUUCUAUCUCAGUCUCCUUUUGUCUUUGCUUUCAUGUUUGCUACUUUUUCUUGUGUCAUUCAAAGGGUGAUUUGGUGCAAAGUUUUUAUUUUUCUUGCUUUUUGGUAUGUGCUUAUCACUUUUGUUUUGCAUGGAUGCUUCAGAUUUCAUUUCUAGGGUUGAUUGAUGUAAUAGUCAUUGUGAAAAUGUGUACUUGAGUGGUCUAACUCUAACCGCAUGUUACUUGCUUUUUAAGUGCUUAUUCAUCUCCUGAAUUUUCAUGUAUUAGUCUGAUCUAAUGAUCUGCAUGUGCUUAAGUGCUUUUGCUAACUUUGCCAAUCCUCUCUUGAUUAAUUUUUGUAAGAUCUGUUCAUCCAAUUUUGCUUGUCUCUUUAGAGAUAAGUAGAUUGUAAACAAGUGUUCAAUAAUCACAGCAUGAAGGGGAAGGGCGCUUUUAUUGCAUUGUUACUUUUGGCUUGCAUGGCCUUCCUGCUCUCUUCAGCUACGCAGCAAUCAAAGGUAGUGAAAGGAGCCACAGCCACUAGAAGGCUUUUAAGGGAGCAAGAGCUGGUUUUGGAGGAAGAGGAGGAGGAGGAGUUCCAAGUUAACGUGGUCCUAGUGCUGUUAAUAAUGAAAUUAAUCAAGGCUUGCAUAAACUCCUUCCUCUACUUUAUUGUGUGUGUUAAUUAUUACUAUAGCUAGUAGUAAUAAACAUAUCAUCGCCUCUUAGUUUUCACUUUGUAAUGGUGUUUGUCAAAUAAACAUGUAUAUAUCUACUCCUUCUCUUUUUUCGUAUGACUUAAUGUCCAUGUCCAUGUUUUAGUCUUCUUUGCAAGUCUUGGACUUUAAUGUCAAAAAAGCUAAGGCUGAGAUAAAUCAAAGGUUAGAGGUAAACAAGAUUUCUGUAAUCUUUAUCCAACAAGCUAAGAUGUAUAGUUUUUUCUUGUACCA